GACGGUAAUAACGGGCCACGUGUUCCCGUGUUUGCACAAAAUGUUAGCACACUCUAGGAGCACGGGGUUUGGGUUGUUAAUGAGGCGUGAUGGGUCUAGGAAACAUUCACGAUAUUCCAGACCCCUCCUGGCGAAGGUCUGGAGGCGUUUCCGCAUUCCCUUUUCAGCGGGAAGACGGGAGACGUGACAAUUCAGGGUCUGACGGUCAAGUGAUUCCGCUGCCACCCAGACACCGUCAUUGACGUGCCGCGAUCAUGCUGAUGAUGGAUCUUUCCAAUUUUGUCAGCGUCUCCCGUGUCAUUAUUCCUUCAGCCGGAUGCAGUCAGUCGACCCCUGGUAACUGAAGCCACGGAAAGUGAAACCAGACAUAAGAAAGGCUGGCUGUUCCAGGUUCCUGCCAGUUCUGACGUUCAGCGCCUUAAUUCCACACUGACCCUACUAGAAAUGAACUGAAUUCCGAUGCAGUCGAGGAAUAACUACGUUGAUAUCUUGCGUUGACAUCUGACCGUUUCCUGCAAACAACUCCUGGGACUAAAUUUGUCUUCCUUUAGUUGAGGACUAAUAACCACGGGGUUGCCGAAGGGCUGCGUGUUCUCCCGGGAGCAGCCGGCGAGGGGCAGCCCGCGGCCUCCUUGCUGUGGGCCUCCUACUCCUCGGAGGCAGACGCCAGCAGAGAAGCGCUCGCUGCGCGGGACGCUCUUCAUCAAAGGGUUCACAGAGAUGGGGAAGUCGACCUGCUUGGAGAGAAGAGGGGAAAUAAGCGGACUGGCAGAGAAAAGGUUGGAGAAGUUCCACGAGGUUAUGGCAAUAGUUUCUCCUCCUUUCUUGCUUCGCCUUAAGACAAGAGCCUUGGGGAUGUGGCAUCUUCACUGCUGCGCCUCUUCGGUGCCCAGAUUCCCAGAGCUCCCAUGUAGAAGGGCUACUCUUUCUACUUCUGCCACUGGGAUGGGGGAAAGAAGAAGGGAUAAGACAAUCCA